UUACGAAAACUUGUCAAUGCACGAAAGUGUGAACGGGCUACCCCGAGUGCCGUCCGCUGAGGAUGGCUUUUCUCUGCUGUAAGAAGGCGGAGGAAUAAGGCGAGGGCAAGUCUGGUGUCAGCCGCCGCGGUAAUACCAGCUCGCCGAGUGGUAGGGAUGAUUAUUGGGCUUAAAGCGUCCGUAGCCGGCCUUUCAAGUCUCUUGUUAAAUCCAACGAUUCAAUCGCUGGACUGCAGGAGAUACUGUCAGGCUAGGGGGCGGGAGAAGCCGACGGUAUUUUCGGGGUAGGGGUAAAAUCCUAUAAUCCCGGGAAGACCACCAGUGGCGUAGGCGGUCGGCUAGCACGCGCUCGACGGUGAGGGACGAAAGCUGGGGGAGCGAACCGG
rnacentral:rRNA from 1 species